rnacentral:rRNA from 1 species
AACGAACGCUGGCGGCGUGCUUAACACAUGCAAGUCGAACGGCAAGGCCCUGCUUUUGUGGGGGGCUCGAGUGGCGAACGGGUGAGUAACACGUGAGUAACCUGCCCUUGACUUUGGGAUAACUUCAGGAAACUGGUGCUAAUACCGGAUACGAGCUCCUGCUGCAUGGUGGGGGUUGGAAAGUUUAGGCGGGUGGGGAUGGACGCGCGGCUUAUCAGCUUGUUGGUGGGGGAGUGGCUUACCCAGGGUUAGACAGGUAGCCGGCAAGGGAGGGUGACCGGCGACAUUGGGCCUGAGAUAGGGCCCAGAGUGCUACGGGAGGCAGCAGGGGGGAACAUUGUACAAUGGGCGGAAGCCUGAUGCAGAAACGCCGCGGGUGGGAUGAAGGCCUGCGGGUUGUAAAAAGCUUUCGCCUGUGACGAAGCGUGAGUGACGGUAAUGGGUAAAUAAGCACCGGCUAACUACGUG